rnacentral:rRNA from 1 species
CCAAUAGCGUAUAUUAAAGUUGUUGCAGUUAAAAAGCUCGUAGUUGAAUUUCGGGAUCAGAUUGUCGGUCGUGCCUCGGUACGCACUGGCAUUAUUGGUUCCUACCUUCUGAAGAACCGCGAUGUCAUUAAUUUGGUGUCGUGGGGAAUCAGGACUGUUACUUUGAAAAAAUUAGAGUGUUUAAAGCAGGCGCACGCUUGAAUACAUUAGCAUGGAAUAAUGAAAUAGGACGUUUGAUUCUAUUUUGUUGGUUUCUAGGAUCGACGUAAUGAUUAAUAGGGAUAGUUGGGGGCAUUAGUAUUCAAUUGUCAGAGGUGAAAUUCUUGGAUUUAUUGAAGACUAACUACUGCGAAAGCAUUUGCCAAGGAUGUUUUCAUUAAUCAAGAACGAAAGUUAGGGGAUCGAAGACGAUCAGAUACCGUCGUAGUCUUAACCAUAAACUAUGCCGACUAGGGAUCGGAUGAUGUUGAUUUUAUAAUGACUCAUUCGGCGCCUUACG